rnacentral:sRNA from 1 species
GAUCGAAGAAAGAAGGUUUCCAUUCAGUCUCAUAAA